rnacentral:sRNA from 1 species
AAAGAAGUGCUCACGGAUGCGUUGUAG